rnacentral:rRNA from 1 species
UACGUAGGGUGCGAGCGUUGUCCGGAAUUACUGGGCGUAAAGAGCUCGUAGGUGGUUUGUCGCGUUGUCCGUGAAAACUCACAACUCAAUUGUGGGCGUGCGGGCGAUACGGGCAGACUGGAGUACUGCAGGGGAGACUGGAAUUCCUGGUGUAGCGGUGGAAUGCGCAGAUAUCAGGAGGAACACCGGUGGCGAAAGCAGCUCUCUGGGACGGUACUGACGCUGAGACGCGAAAGCGUGGGGAGCAAACAGG